ACUCAAAGGAAUUGACGGGGGCCCGCACAAGCAGCGGAGCGUGUGGUUUAAUUCGACGCAACGCGAAGAACCUUACCAGGGCUUGACAUGGCAGAAGUAGAACCCCGAAAGGGGAACCAACUGUAAAAUCAGUAACUGCCACAGGUGCUGCAUGGCUGUCGUCAGCUCGUGCCGUGAGGUGUUGGGUUAAGUCCCGCAACGAGCGCAACCCCCGUUGCCUGUUGCAUUUCAGGCGAGACUGCCGGGAGAACCCGGAGGAAGGUGGGGAUGAUGUCAAGUCAGCACGGCCCUUACGUCCUGGGCUACACACACGCUACAAUGGCCGGUACAACGGGCUGCAACGUCGCAAGGCGAAGCUAAUCCCUCAAAACCGGCCCCAGUUCAGAUUGCAGGCUGAAACUCGCCUGCAUGAAGGCGGAGUUGCUAGUAACCGCAGGUCAGCAAUACUGCGGUGAAUACGUUCCCGGGCCUUGUACACACCGCCCGU
rnacentral:rRNA from 1 species